rnacentral:rRNA from 1 species
GACGAACGCUGGCGGCGUGCUUAACACAUGCAAGUCGAACGGAAAGGCCCUGCUUUUGUGGGGUGCUCGAGUGGCGAACGGGUGAGUAACACGUGUGUAACCUGCCCUUGACUUUGGGAUAACUUCAGGAAACUGGGGCUAAUACCGGAUAGGAGCUCCUGCUGCAUGGUGGGGGUUGGAAAGUUUCGGCGGUUGGGGAUGGACUCGCGGCUUAUCAGCUUGUUGGUGGGGUAGUGGCUUACCAAGGCUUUGACGGGUAGCCGGCCUGAGAGGGUGACCGGCGACAUUGGGACUGAGAUACGGCCCAGACUCCUACGGGAGGCAGCAGUGGGGAAUAUUGCACAAUGGGCGGAAGCCUGAUGCAGCAACGCCGCGUGCGGGAUGACGGCCUUCGGGUUGUAAACCGCUUUCGCCUGUGACGAAGCGUGAGUGACGGUAAUGGGUAAAGAAGCACCGGCUAACUACGUG